rnacentral:pre_miRNA from 1 species
UCAUCGCCGGGAGUUCCUUCAAUCACUUCGUCGAAUUACAUUGUGUGAAUAGAUGGAUUCGCUGAAGUGUUUGGGGGAACUCCGGGCGUCAU